rnacentral:tRNA from 1 species
GGCCCGGUAGUUAAGCGGUAUAACGCUGCUAGUAACUUCGCUAUAUAGAAUCCCCGGUUUAAUCCCGGGCCGGGCUA